AACGCUAGCUACAGGCUUAACACAUGCAAGUCGAGGGGCAUCAUGAACAAAGCUUGCUUUGUUCGAUGGCGACCGGCGCACGGGUGAGUAACGCGUAUCCGACCUGCCCAUGACUCGGGCACAGCCGCUCGAAAGAGCGAUUGAUUCCCGAUAUGUCUAUGAAGUAGAUUCAUGGAUGAAAGAUUUAUCGGUAACGGAUGGGGAUGCGUGACAUUAGGUAGAUGGCGGGGUAACGGCCCACCAUGCCCACGAUGUCUAGGGGUUCUGAGAGGAAGGUCCCCCACACUGGAACUGAGACACGGUCCAGACUCCUACGGGAGGCAGCAGUGAGGAAUAUUGGUCAAUGGUCGGAAGACUGAACCAGCCAAGUAGCGUGAAGGAUGAAGGUUCUAUGGAUUGUAAACUUCUUUUAUACGGGAAUAAAGCCCGCUACGUGUAGCGGUUUGUAUGUACCGUAUGAAUAAGCAUCGGCUAACUCCGUGCCAGCAGCCGCGGUAAUACGGAGGAUGCGAGCGUUAUCCGGAUUUAUUGGGUUUAAAGGGAGCGUAGACGGGGGAUUAAGUCAGUUGUGAAAAGGCUGCGGCUCAACCGCAGCACUGCAGUUGAUACUGGUUCCCUUGAGUGCGGUUGAGGUGUAUGGAAUUCGUGGUGUAGCGGUGAAAUGCUUAGAUAUCACGAAGAACUCCGAUUGCGAAGGCAGUACACUAAGCCGUAACUGACGUUGAGGCUCGAAAGUGUGGGUAUCAAACAGGAUUAGAUACCCUGGUAGUCCACACGGUAAACGAUGAAUACUCGCUGUUGGCGAUACAAUGUCAGCGGCCAAGCGAAAGCAUUAAGUAUUCCACCUGGGGAGUACGCCGGCAACGGUGAAACUCAAAGGAAUUGACGGGGGCCCGCACAAGCGGAGGAACAUGUGGUUUAAUUCGAUGAUACGCGAGGAACCUUACCCGGGCUUAAAUUGCAGGGGACAGGCUGAGAGAUCAGCUCUUCUUCGGACUCCUGUGAAGGUGCUGCAUGGUUGUCGUCAGCUCGUGCCGUGAGGUGUCGGCUUAAGUGCCAUAACGAGCGCAACCCUUGCCAUUAGUUACUAACAGGUGAUGCUGAGGACUCUAGUGGGACUGCCAUCGUAAGAUGUGAGGAAGGUGGGGAUGACGUCAAAUCAGCACGGCCCUUACGUCCGGGGCUACACACGUGUUACAAUGGGAGGUACAGCAGGUUGCUUGCCGGUGACGGUUGGCUAAUCCCUAAAUCCUCUCUCAGUUCGGACUGGAGUCUGCAACCCGACUCCACGAAGCUGGAUUCGCUAGUAAUCGCGCAUCAGCCAUGGCGCGGUGAAUACGUUCCCGGGCC
rnacentral:rRNA from 1 species